rnacentral:rRNA from 1 species
GAUGAACGCUGGCGGCGUGCCUAAUACAUGCAAGUCGAGCGCACAGAUGAGGAGCUUGUUCCUCUGACGUUAGCGGCGGACGGGUGAGUAACACGUGGAUAACCUACCUUUAAGCCUGGGAUAACUUCGGGAAACCGGAGCUAAUACCGGAUAAUAUCUUUAACCGCAUGGUUCAAUAGUGAAAGACGGUUUUGCUUUACCUAAUAGUUGUAUCGCGGCGGCAUUAGUUAGUUGUUAGGUAAACGGCUUCCCAAGGCAACGAUGCGUAGCCAACCGGAGAGGGUGAUCGGCCACACGGGAACUGAGAAACGGUCCAGACUCCUACGGGAGGCGGAGGAAGGGAAUCUUCGGCAACGGGCGAAAGCCUGACGGAGCAACGCCGCGUGAGUGAGGAAGGUCUUCGGAUCGUAAAACUCGGUUAUUAGGGAAGAACAAAUGUGUAAGUAACUAUGCACGUCUUGACGGUACCUAAUCAGAAAGCCACGGCUAACUACGUG